AGGGGUGACCUGCGGAGGGAUCAUUACUGAGUGAGGGCCUUCGGGCUCGACCUCCAACCCUUUGUGAACACAACUUGUUGCUUCGGGGGCGACCCUGCCGUUUCGACGGCGAGCGCCCCCGGAGGCCUUCAAACACUGCAUCUUUGCGUCGGAGUUUAAGUAAAUUAAACAAAACUUUCAACAACGGAUCUCUUGGUUCUGGCAUCGAUGAAGAACGCAGCGAAAUGCGAUAAGUAAUGUGAAUUGCAGAAUUCAGUGAAUCAUCGAAUCUUUGAACGCACAUUGCGCCCCUUGGUAUUCCGAGGGGCAUGCCUGUUCGAGCGUCAUUUCACCACUCAAGCCUCGCUUGGUAUUGGGCGCCGCGGUGUUCCGCGCGCCUCAAAGUCUCCGGCUGAGCUGUCCGUCUCUAAGCGUUGUGAUUUCAUUAAUCGCUUCGGAGCGCGGGCGGUCGCGGCCGUUAAAUCUUUCAUAAGGUUGACCUCGGAUCAGGUAGGGAUACCCGCUGAACUUAAGCAUAUCAAUAAGCCGGAGGAA
rnacentral:rRNA from 1 species